UUUGUGAUUCAUCUAACAGAGCUUACUAUAGAUUCCAUAAAGCACUCUGAACCACCACUGAAAUUCUAGUUAUCAUUGUAUUUACUGAGCCCAAAGGGCCAAUUUAUGUAACUAUUUGUACAGGUAGAGAGAUAUGUGUGUCUUAGGUUCCAUCUCAAACUUGCAGGUUUUCAAGCCACUUUGUAAAUUUAUGUAGCAGCACAUCAAACUCUCCAAUACUGCCAACAAAAUCCAAAGACAGCAACUGAGAGAUGUGUCUUCUGUCUUCUUAAGAAACAACAACAAAUAAGCGUUGAGAACUUAC
rnacentral:lncRNA from 1 species